UGGGGGAUAUUGCACAAUGGGGGGAACCCUGAUGCAGCGACGCCGCGUGGGUGAAGAAGCGCCUCGGCGCGUAAAGCCCUGUCAGCAGGGAAGAAAAUGACGGUACCUGAAGAAGAAGCCCAGGCUAACUACGUGCC
rnacentral:rRNA from 1 species